GAGUUUGAUCCUGGCUCAGAACGAACGCUGGCGGCGUGCUUAACACAUGCAAGUCGAACGCGAACGGGACUUCGGUUCCAAGUAGAGUGGCGCACGGGUGAGUAACGCGUAGAUAACCUGUCUUUAUGUCUGGAAUAACACGCCGAAAGGGGUACUAAUACCGGAUAUUCUUGCAUUUCACAGGUAAGGCAAGCAAAGGUGGCCUCUGGUUCAAGCUACUGCAUAGAGAGGGGUCUGCGUACCAUUAGCUAGUAGGUGGGGUAAUGGCCUACCUAGGCGACGAUGGUUAGCGGGUCUGAGAGGAUGAUCCGCCACACUGGCACUGGAAUACGGGCCAGACUCCUACGGGAGGCAGCAGUGAGGAAUAUUGCGCAAUGGGGGAAAUCCUGACGCAGCGACGCCGCGUGAGUGAGGAAGGCCUUCGGGUCGUAAAGCUCUGUCAAGAGGGAAGAAGUGUACGCUGGCCAAUACCCGGC
rnacentral:rRNA from 1 species